rnacentral:rRNA from 1 species
UGCGUAGGCGGAAUAUUAAGACAGUGGUGAAAUCCUGCGGCUCAACCGUAGAACUGCCAUUGAUACUGAUAUUCUUGAAUGUAGUUGAGGUAGGCGGAAUGUGUAAUGUAGCGGUGAAAUGCUUAGAUAUUACACAGAACACCGAUUGCGAAGGCAGCUUACUAAACUAUGAUUGACGCUGAGGCACGAAAGCGUGGGGAGCGAACAGGAUUAGAUACCCUGGUAGUCC